GUGCUCACUUAAGCAGCACAUAUACUAAAACUGAAACAAUGCAAAGAAGAUUAGCAUGGCCCCUGUGUAAGGAUGACACACAAAUUUGUAAAGUAUUUGAUAUAUUU